UUCAUAAAAUUCAAUAGACCUCAUAUAAUAGUGAGAAUAAGGCUCACAUGUUUCUACCGGGUAGCCGUAAACUACCUGACUAUGAGGGAAGUGUAUCUAGGG
rnacentral:ncRNA from 2 species